UACGGCUGCAAUAUACAUUCAUUGAUGUCGUUGGGUUUCACAUGUGAGCGACUCACUGACCAAUGAGUGCAAACUGCAGUAGGA
rnacentral:pre_miRNA from 1 species